rnacentral:rRNA from 1 species
GUGGGGAAUAUUGGGCAAUGGGCGAAAGCCUGACCCAGCAACGCCGCGUGAAGGAAGAAGGCCCUCGGGUUGUAAACUUCUUUUAAGAGGGACGAAAGAAAUGACGGUACCUCUUGAAUAAGCCACGGCUAACUACGUGCCAGCAGCCGCGGUAAUACGUAGGUGGCGAGCGUUAUCCGGAUUUACUGGGUGUAAAGGGCGUGUAGGCGGGAGUGCAAGUCAGAUGUGAAAAUUAUGGGCUCAACCCAUAACCUGCAUUUGAAACUGUUCUUCUUGAGUGAUGGAGAGGCAGGCGGAAAUCCGGGUGUAGCGGUGAAAUGCGUAGAUAUACGGAGGAACACCAGUGGCGAAGGCGGCCUGCUGGACAUUAACUGACGCUGAGGCGCGAAAGCGUGGGGAGCAAACAGGAUUAGAUACCCUUGUAGUCC